GCCCCACGAUGCGCGUGCCGCUGAGCACAUGGAGGAGAGCGGACGCACACUUAGCAGCCUGGCUAAUGUAGCCUGUGGGUCGCAAAAUAUUGGCAAAUGAAGAACAUUUCAGAUCUGGAAAGUGGACUGACUUGCUUAAGGCGUCCCACAUGGAUGAGAGAAAAAUAUUGAGGAUGUGAGCAGUCCCUUCACCUUUAAAAGUUAUCUUCAAAAUGGAGCUUGUUCUUUUUCCUAAGUUUCAGUCUCCGAAUCCAGUUAUAGUAUCAGUCACCCUGCCAGUGAGGAAUACGGUGAAGAGGCCGUCCUGUGCGAUAAGAGACCUACACCGGACAGCAUGACCUUCAGAGGACUGGCUUGAACUUGGACUGUGUUUAGGCAGCAUGAACUAGAGAACAACCUCCUGCUGAAGCCAUGAGUCACACUGCCAUCAACCUCAUUUAAACCAUAGCGCUGAUGUUACUGGAUAUGUUAAAUAGGUCAGGUGCACCUCCAUGUGCCACAUACUGUUCACAAAAGACUGCAUCCAUGUGAAUUGGUGGUAAAUUGGUCUAAUGGUGGUAAAAGCUCAAGUCUUCAGGAGUCUUCAGAAAGGGGUCAACCAAGUAUUUUUGCAUAUAUGUAUACAUAUAUAUUGUCAUUAUUUUUAACAUUCAUAACAGGUCUCCAUGCUCCGUUUUUCUCUGUUUUCCUCUGUUUUGAAGGGUUUGUUUGAGCACAGUAUGCACCGUGUAACCCCAGAGUGAACCCAGUGUGUUGCAAUAAUAAAAUGAGUAUUAAUCUGUGAAUGCAUUUAAAAUCUAUGGAUAAUGUAAAGGUUAUAAUGCCCUUACGUUUUAAUGAUUAGGUGACUGUAGAUAUAUAGUGAGAUGGUUUAAGUGGGACUAGCCGUUACUCCUCUUGGGCUGAGGAUUUUCUCGUGGAUCUCUGGUAAAGCACAGGUUAAUGGAAUUGCUUCAGAUCUGGUUUUGGGGAUUGAGAAGCCUCUGUUUAGAUUAAUGUGAGCGCCAGGGAUGAUGGGAAAGCGGGAUGCAGCCAGUGCUCUCUAAUAACACUGUGAGGGGUGGGGGUCAACACAGGGCAUGCCCAAUCUGGCUAGACUGUUUCGUCAGUGGAUUCUCUCAUAAUCCUCUUUCUCUGACUGCCACCGUGACUAUGUGACCGCCUGUGUAACAGAAACCAUGAAUCUCAGACAGCAGGGCAGCUAAAGGGCUUUAUGAAUUGUAAACAAACUAGCAUGCAUUAUGAAUGAUUAAAUAAAUUAAAAUCGGCCUAGCAGGGUAGACGUUACCCAAAUUUAAAGAACAGUUCUCUAAAUAUUUCCACCCUCUUGUUUAAAUGUCAUGUGUUUCCUCUUUUACAGUGAAGAGGUUGUGUAUCAGUUAUCCGUACCCUCGGCUGGAGGAUUCAAAUUAGACUGAAUUCCUUUGUAAAGUGGUCUCUCACUUCUAUCAUGGGACAUGUUGUACUUUAUCGUUUCUGAGUGGUUCUGUCUCAGAGGGCAGCAGGCCAGGCACACGUGUACCAGCUCUCUGAAGAAGGCCAGUUCAGUGGAAACUAGCAAGCAAACACACUGAAAAGGACACACGCUCCCUCAAUGUCAGCAAAUAUUUGGUCACAACUUCAAAGGGAAGUGACAGUCGUUUGAAACUGGGGAUGACAUUGGGCCGCUAUUAGAGCAGUGUAGUGAAAGUGCGUCAGAGUGAGGGAGAGCAAGGAAAUCCCCUUCUGCCACGUGGGAUAUGAACAAAGACUCCAGUUUGCCUCAAACUUUCUCUUUUGCCUUGCUGCGCGAGAGGUCCCACCACGCUCGACUGCUGGCAUUUACACGCUUCAGUCCUCUCUCACCGCACACCUUCCCGUGGAGAUUGGCUCACUUUGUUUCCUCAAGAUGAAUGUCUUUUUGAACCUCUUUGAACUGCAGUUAUAUUAUAGGUUCCAGCUCUGUGGUGAUUCAUCGAAUGGGAACUACAGAGGAAUUUGCUGCAUCACAGAGCAAAUCUGUUCAGAUUCCUCAGAAACAUUUCUUUGACGUGACCAACAAGAGUAUAUGAAUGAUGUCUCUUAAGAAAGAUCUGUUUACUGGUUCUCAAUUACUUUAUCUUUCUGUCCAUCCAUCACCUUAAGUCUCACUUUCACAGUCUCUCCACCACUGUCUUUUCAUAUAGUGGUUUGUAUGAAUAAUAUAUGCCACAUUGUUUCGCCGUCAUUAAAGGUGACCUUGGUUAAUUAUUGAUUGGGUCAGAUGAUUACAGGUCCGACCUCUGUAUGUUCUUGUCUGCAUGUCAUCUCUGUUUUCAUGUUUAUGCUCUUCCUCUUAUUCCUGGAGACCCUCAUAUGAUGAAUUACUGUCUAUUGUUAUUGCUGGGGGAGUGUUGGCGCCUUUACAGAGACAUGAAAUGUAAAAUUACAAAUGUAACCAUGAAUGUCAAGACUAUUACUUUGUUUUAAUGAAAUAUGUAAGAGGUAAUGUAUAGUCAUUUGGUCAUUAUCACUAAAUAAACCCUGACGGUGAUCAGGUUGAGCCCCUGAAGGGGUUUAUUUUGUUACAGUGACCGGCUGACUCUAAAAUGUCCUGCCUAUUACCUUGCUACUUGUCAAAU